UAUGUGAUCGUCUCUCGCAUAUCAAUAAGCGGAGGAAAAGAAACUAACAAGGAUUCCCCUAGUAACGGCGAGUGAAGCGGGAAGAGCUCAAAUUUGAAAUCUUAAAGGGUUUCCCUUUACGAAUUGUAGUUUAAAGAAGUGUUUUCUGUUGAGGUUUUGGUAAAAGUUCUUUGGAAUAGGACAUCAUAGAGGGUGAGAAUCCCGUAUUUGACCUUUACUUUCAACUUUGUGAUACACUUUCAAAGAGUCGGAUUGUUUGGGAAUGCAGUCCAAAAUGGGUGGUAAAUUUCAUCUAAAGCUAAAUAUUGGCGAGAGACCGAUAGCGAACAAGUACCGUGAGGGAAAGAUGAAAAGAACUUUGAAAAGAGAGUUAAACAGUACGUGAAAUUGUCAAAAGGGAAGCGUUUGACACCAGUGUUGUUUUUCUGAAAAUCAAUUAAAGAACUGUUUAUGCUAAGCUGUUUAGACUUUAUCAGCUUAACUGCUUAGUUUUGAGCUUUUCUUUAAUGCACUUUUCAGUUAACAAGUCAACAUCAAUUUCUUUUGCUGUAAAAAAGCUCGAGGAAGGUGGCUUGAGAUUCGUCUUAAGUGUUUAUAGCCUCUUGCCUAUGCAGUCGGAGAGAUUGAGGUCUGCAGGCGUAGAUCCUUCGGGGCUAAAUGCAUUUGUGCUAAGUUAUAGCAUUUUAUAGACAACUUGUUGACUAUGAUUUGUCUUGUAGCUUACUCGCUUAUGUUAUUUUACCUACGCUUAGGAUGUUGAUCUGUAGUGCGUGCGC
rnacentral:rRNA from 1 species